rnacentral:snoRNA from 1 species
CUGCUGCUAAGGUUUCCACUAUAGAUGCAAGAAAAGAAGGUCCCCGUGCUUUCUGUUUGGUUGCAGCAGCCAAGAUUGAAUGGGGAAUACAGGA